AGAUUUCCAGGAAGAGACGGACUGAAGGACUUAAAAGCCACGCACUUCAGCAUCCAACUGGCUUCCAUGCAAAAAGCAGUAAACACGUUUCAGCAGAGAGCCUCCAGAAUCUCAGGUUCCUACAACAAGGGAUUGACACAGCAACCGAGAGCAAAGGACGGUGGAUACAACCCAAUCUCUUUUAAAGAAAGAUGAAUGCAGUCAAUCAAUAAAACCAACGACGACUGAUCUGAGAGAAAGAGAGAGUGUACUGCCAUCUAAAAUGGAUAAGCGACACAAAAGAACCACCUCCCAAGAUUUAAAGCAGCAGGAUGAAAUAAACAUGCAAUGACAAUGGUCACAACACACAGCCGCCGCCGCCGCCACCUCACACUCACAAAGACACCGACAAAAGAAGAUUCAGCCUCAAGAGAGGGGUUUUUUCCCCUGCAGCAUUUUGAAGAAAACAAGGUUAUGAAUCAGCAGCUACCUUGGAGAACCUGAAGCUGCUGCCUGAUCCAAAGAAACCGCAGUGAAGAGUCUUGCACGUUUCAGAGCGACAAGUACUAAGCCAAAAAAGGAAGCCACGGAAGAGCAGAUUCUCACCCACUCUUAGGAUGCCAUGCAGAUGUGCUUAGGAAUACAACAUUUAUGCAUUCUAUUCUGAGAAGGCCUUCUCAGUGGUGGCCCCCAAAUUAUGGAAUGAUCUUCCCGACGAGGUGCGCCUGAUGCCAACACUUAUCUUUUCGGCACCAGGUCAAGACUUUCCUCUUCUCCCAGGCAUUUUAGCAUGUGUUUUAAUUGGCUUUUAAAUAUGUGUUUUUAAAUUUGUAUAUUUGUUUUUAUAUUUUAAUUGUUGUAAACCGCC